UCUGAUUCUCUCUCUCUCCUCACUUCCUCUUCUUCUUCUUCGCGAAACUUCCCCCUCCCCUGUUCUUCUUUUGCUCCAGCCAACAUCCCAAACCGCCACUAACACCCAGCCACUCACCACCUCCGGCCACCAGACCGGCCAAGGAAGUAUCGCAGCCACCUCGGCAGCCCAGCCGUCAGCCGCCGCGAGUUUCAACCCUGCAGAAAAACGGGCUGGUUUUUGCUCAAACUUCUCAACCCUCGUUCUCCCUCCUCCGGUCACCGAAUCGGACGAAUUAGGCACCCGGGCACCAGGUGACCCGCAGGAGGGACCUUCAAAGGGUCCAGCUAGCUCAGAGUAUCUGUGAGUGGACUGUUUGUUUUAUAAACGUUUUAUGCAUUUUAAUUUCAUUAUUUGAUCUUGAAUAAGUUUUACUGAAUACAGCUUUCCUAGCAUGACUUGAUAGAUUUAAAUAUUUCUGUUUAUUUAUGUGCUGCCUAGUGGAACAUUUAAAAAGGGAUUUGGAAAGUUAGAACUGAGGUAUUAUCAGAUUAAAUGGCAGCAGGAUUUAAGGAAUAGUUUUAUAAGUAGUUUUAU